rnacentral:rRNA from 1 species
CAGGACGAACGCUGGCGGCGCGCCUAACACAUGCAAGUCGAACGGUGAAGAGGAGCUUGCUCCUCGGAUCAGUGGCGGACGGGUGAGUAACACGUGAGCAACCUGGCUCUAAGAGGGGGGACAACAGUUGGAAACGACUGCUAAUACCGCAUAACGUAUCGGGAUGGCAUCUUCCUGAUACCAAAGAUUUUAUCGCUUAGAGAUGGGCUCGCGUCUGAUUAGAUAGUUGGCGGGGUAACGGCCCACCAAGUCGACGAUCAGUAGCCGGACUGAGAGGUUGAACGGCCACAUUGGGACUGAGACACGGCCCAGACUCCUACGGGAGGCAGCAGUGGGGGAUAUUGGACAAUGGGGGCAACCCUGAUCCAGCGACGCCGCGUGAGGGAAGAAGGUUUUCGGAUUGUAAACCUCUGUUGACGGAGAAAAAAUGAUGGUAUCCGUUUAGAAAGCCACGGCUAACUACGUG